CCGCGCUGAGGGGCGGGGGAGCCGCGCCCCGCCCCGUCCUGUCCCGCCGGGCGCGGGGGGAGCCGCGGAGCGGGGCCGGGAUCCGCUCGGUGGGGCGGGAAACGCAGCGCCAGGGGCGCCGAGGGAAAAGCAGACGGAACGCUCGGCCUUCGGAGAGCUCAAGAGGCUGGCUGGGAACACCUGCUGAAAUGUGUCCAGCUUCACUGAUUGAAGAAGAGUUAUGAGCAAGAUGUGCAGUUUUUUCACCCUUAUUUCUAGAAGUUAAACACAGAACAGGUAGACCAGCUUUACUGAUUUUUAGUGACUGUUGGCAUUGAAAUUGGUUAUAUUUCAGUUCAUUAUCUCCAUAUUUUGUUUUAUCAUCUUGAACAAGUAGCUGGCUAGCAAUUUAAAAAUGUUUAGCAUUUGGGAAAAAAUCUUCUGUCAUGAAAUGAUUGAACAAGACUGUAAUGUCUG